ensembl:lncRNA
UUUUCUUGGAAUAUUCUCAUAUUCAGAUAAACUAAUCAGUGUCAUGGUAAAUAGCACCCAUUAAACUGGGAGGAGUGCCAGCGAACAAAAAGGGUGCACUGUUCUUUGCUGGGACUCUUAAGCAGGAAAUGAACACCCAUUCCUUUUAAUCAGCAGCCCAUUGUAUCUCUCAGAGCCUUUCCAUAGAAGUUAAUAGGUGAAUGGACUUCUGCUGGCACAGAUUUUCCAUUGUAGAGCACUCUGUUCUGUUCUGCUUUACUAUUUUGCUAUAAAUUAACUUUAAAGAGUCAGGCUUACCACUGUUAGAGGAUGCUGUGAAAAAGAAAAACAAAACACCUCAAUUUUAAAGCAGUUUGGUACUCUUCUUUAUAAGAAGAAGGAUGGAACUGGAAGUGCUGCAGCCUGUAAAUAAAGACAGAGUGAGGAGCUGACAUUUCUCAGCUUGAUGCAGAAGCACAGGAGCACAAAAAAAAACACAGGAAAAUGUAGCUACUCCACUGGACUCUAUCUGGUGCCAGGUCCCUGUACAGAUAGGUAAGUCACCAGGUGCUACGAUGUCAGCAGUGUUGAUCAGUUAGACAUCACUACCUAACCAUGCUAACUUGGAACUGAUUAGUAUUUUCUAGAUGCUGUAAACACACAGUGAAAAGAUAGCUCAUCACCUGAGAGCUAGCCACAGAAAUAUUCAGUGAGAACAGGCGGAAAAAAAGUAAAUGCACAAGGCUGUAGGUAGCCUCCAGCUUUUUUUUUUUUUUUUUUUUUUUUUUUUUUUUUUUUUUCCCACAGCCUCCCCCAAAACCUUGCCUUUUCUAGAUUUGCUAGAUACCUGAGAUGGCCCCAGACAUUCCAGGUUUUGGGAAUACUUCUAAGAUUGUAACCAGAAAAAUGGGAAGGUCUGGAUGGCUUCCCAGCGUGGUACAGUACUCUCCCAGGCACAGCCAUUGCCUCGGAAAGAAGCCAGGCCAACACAUCGUAAAUCCUUUCUUGAGAUGCCUGGGAGGUGUUAGCUCAGUCAAAGAUAAAACUCUCAUCUUGUCAACACCAGCUGCUGAGAAAAGCAGCAGAAAGAAGCAUCUCCAUUUUAGCCAGCAUGCUUCCCUGGCUUAAAAUGGCAUUCUCUGGCUGAAAGAUGUCUGUGCAGCUGUUUGGAAAAGAAGUCUUGAACUGACGAAGUACAGCUAUGGGAUAAAUGACAAUAACUCAGGAAGACACCAGGUGAUAAGUGAUGAGGAAGUAUGUUUGCCCUGUUUGUACCUGAAAUGUGCCAGGAUCAGAGCUGUCUGUGGGUCUGAAUGAUAGCACACAACUUAGAACUUAUGAAUACCUUUCUGUAAGGAUAUAAGCAGUUUAGAAGCCUGAGUUGUGAUAGAUAUCUUGUGGUAUGCUUCUCACAAGCACCUAAAAUAUAAUCUGCCACUUUUUUUUUUUUUUUAAUUAAGCAUAUGAUACUCUUGUAUUUGUAUGGAAGUAUAUAAGCCUUAAAAAUGCUUCAACUUAAUAUUUCUUGUACCUCCUCGUCAUGCAGAUUGCAUUCAUAUGUUGUGGAAAAUAAUUAGCAUCAACAUAUGUGCUCAUGCAGUAAGCAUUGCAUGCAGAAAGAUGUUAUUAGAACAGUGUGAAAAUGGCCCCACUUAAAACAAGCCAAACCAUCAUCGUUUCUUCCUAGAGAACUGCAUCAAAUCAAGCUUCAUGUAAAUGCGAUUUUGCCUGUGGAGGAAGCUAAUAUAAAGUAGCCAAAACAGAACAGGAAAACCAGGAGCAAAUUAGUUCCUAAUAUAUUUUCAGUAGAAUCAGCAGAUGUUGAAUACAAUUCACAUUAUCAUAUAGAUAAUAUGAAAAUGACAUUUUUUAAAAUGUUACCGAUCACUUUUAAUAAAGCAAUUAUUAAAUGCCA